ensembl:lncRNA
UCGGAAUGUUGCUCCAAAUAAAUCUGCAUUCAAAAUCGUAUGAGUGACUUGUUGGAAGCUAUGUGAAAAAACAUCCCUCUCCCAGCGCCACCCAAACCCAGACCAGAGAUGGUUCUGGAGGACGUCGACUCGGACCACGAGGAACCGGUCCGAGGGGGGAACCCGCCGUCCCCGGCCGGGACGCCGGAGACCCGACCAGCGGGGGGACAGGACGCCCACACCGGACCAGCGGAACCCGGUCACAGUGACGCGGACUGGACGGGGACCGGCCAGGAGGACGCCGAGACCCAGACGGGCCGCUGGACCCCCUUCAUCAACAGCAUCAAGAGGGAGGCCGAGGACGUUGCCUUGGCAACCAUGGAGGAGCGGUUGCUGCAGGAGCGUGUGCUGAUGACCCGGAUGGCGGAGGACGUGGCGCGUCAGACGGCUGAGAUGGCCGUCCGACAGAUGGCCUCCGAGGGGGGGUCCAUCAAACUGUCCCUGGGGAGCCAGGACCUGCUGGGGGAGCCUGAGCCCGAGUUGCAGGCGCUCGAAGGGGAGGAGGAAGAGGUGGAACAGAGUCUGCAUAAAACCCCAGAACCGCAGGAGUGUGACGGCGAGCAGGACCAAAACCAGCCUGAAAUCCCAGAGGAGCUUGAAGACCCAGAGGAAGCAGAGCCUGUGGGGUCGAAGCCUGUGGGACCCGAACCUGUGGAAACAGAGGAGGCUGCUGCUGAAGAAUCAGCGCCGGAGUCAGAAGAAGAGUCAGAGUCAGAGGAGGAGGAGGACUCACCCCAGCAGGACUCCUCUGGAACACAGGGUACCUCUGGACCAGAACCUGUUACAGAACAACCACAGACAGGAGAGGAAGGCGCUGACACCACUGCAGCCAAAGAUGAGGAAGCUGCUGGAGAGGGCAGCUGUGCGCCCGUCAGCUGUGAGGUCCUGAAGACCUAUCUGAUGAGCGUCCCGUGCGUGUCCGACUGCCUGGGCAACCUCGGCGCCUUCCUCAAAGAGAACGGUGUCUCCCCCACCAAGGUGGGCUCCGCGCCCGCCCAGCUGCUGUCCGACGUCACCAAGCGCCUGCCCUCCCUGCCCCCCGAGCUGCGCCAGGAGCUCUCCAGGAUCCGCCUCACCCAGGUGCCCCGCAACAUCAUCGAGACCCUCACGGAGCUCGUCCCCGCCCGCUCCGAGGGCUCCGGCGGCCUGGCGCGCUACCUCGGCCUGACGGCGGCGUCGGUGCCGUCCGUGUCGGGACUGUCCCAGAGCCUCGCCGCCGUCCCCCAGAAGGUGGCGGCCAUCCCCGCGCGGGCGCAGCAGUACUACAACAACGUCCAGAGUCGCCUCAACAGCCUCAUGCCACAAGAUGCCUAAGAAACAGAACCAGCAGCAGCAGCAGCAGCAGAAGAAGAACCCCCUCAUUAGCGACCAGGACCAGGACCUAGAGCUCAACCGGCUAGUGAGACCGACCCCCUGCCCCCACCCCUGUGCUCCCGCUCCCCCUCCC